CAGGGAGACAACAAAAUGUUUAAUAUUAUUAUUUUGUCACCUUAGGUCGAUCGGUAUCUCACGUUCUUAACUAAUUAAGAAUUUCAUUUCCUAAGUUUUUCUAGGUCACACCCAUUAUUUUUCCUGGGCCAUUAGCUCAGGUGGUUAGAGCGCACCCCUGAUAAGGGUGAGGUCCCUGGUUCAAGUCCAGGAUGGCCCAUAUCUCUAUGUUGGGGGUAUAGCUCAGUUGGUAGAGCGCCUGCUUUGCAAGCAGGAUGUCAGCGGUUCGAGUCCGCUUACCUCCACUGAUUACCACCUCUUCCAUAAUCUGUAGAAAGGAAAUUUUUUGAGUUGUGAUCAAAUUCUGAAAGAAUCUAGCUUCCUAAUGAAAUCAUUAAGAUGCUGGACUCAUUGAAUUAAUUUCAUUGUUUUCAGAGAACCUUGACAACUGCAUAGAUUAUUUUUUAAAGACAAUAAGCAUCUUUAAUGAUGCAGAUUUAUUAUUUGUGCGAAUGCAUUAAUAACAAUUCUAUUAAGCUGAUGCUUCAAUUUUGAAGUUAUU
rnacentral:tRNA from 1 species